CGGGGUGCACCAGGCGCGAAAACUCUACAAUGCAGGCAACUGCGAUAGGGGAACAUCGAGUGAUCCUCAUAUUGGGGGUCUGUCCCACCGUCUAAAAAACGGUGGUUAGCAAGGGCCGGGCAAGACCGGUGCCAGCCGCCGCGGUAAUACCGGCGGCUCGAGUGGUGGCCGAUAUUAUUGAGUCUAAAGGGUCCGUAGCCGGCUUUGCAAGUCUCUCGGGAAAUCCAGCGGCUUAACCGUUGGUCGUCCGGGGGGUACUACAUUGCUUGGGACUGGGAGAGGUAGGAGGUACUCAGGGGGUAGGAGUGAAAUCCUGUAAUCCUCUGGGGACCACCGGUGGCGAAGGCGUCCUACCAGAACAGGUCCGACGGUGAGGGACGAAAGCUAGGGGCACGAACCGGAUUAGAUACCCGGGUAGUCCUAGCCGUAAACGAUGCUCGCUAGGUGUCACAACAGUCGUGAACUGUUGUGGUGCCGUAGGGAAGCCGUGAAGCGAGCCACUUGGGAAGUACGACCGCAAGGUUGAAACUUAAAGGAAUUG
rnacentral:rRNA from 1 species